CUUGCCUCCUCUUCACCAGACAAAACAACGACAUCUAAUCCAGUACUUUGAUGUAUUGCCUUUCUCAGCUCGAUUGCGUUAUCUGCCUCGCGCACUGCUGCAGUGGCGACGCAGCGGAUACUACAGGGAGAGAUGUUAUUGUAUUUGAGGAUUUGGUUGAAUUCUUGAAGGCACUGGAGGGCACGAAGAUGGGAUUCCGCUGAGAUGGAAGUGGAAGAGUCGCGACCGAGGCAUACAGGGUUCUUGUGGCGAUCAAUGGUGAGGAAUUUGCCCGAUGGGUCUGCUUGGACUAUUAACAUUUUGAAGGAGUUGGUGCCCAUGUCUAUUGAGGCAAAAAGAUUACUAUUUGGUGGAGCCAUGGUUUUUGGACUUCGUUGUGCUGUUAAUGAGGAAGGAGUUUCUUCAUCGGAUGGAUCCAAGAUGACAAAGCCAAGGAAUCGAGUCUGAUGGGGCGACCGUGGAUAUGAGUUUCCUUUCUG
rnacentral:misc_RNA from 1 species